rnacentral:lncRNA from 1 species
UAACAGCCGACGAACAGAAAUGAAAGAUACAACUCCGAAGUUUUACUUUUCUUUAUUAUUAUGGCCUGUAGAAAACUCAGCUAGCUAUCUGCCUAUGAACAGACUGAAAAAUUGAGAAAAAAAAAUAAAAAAAUAAAAAUAAAAAAGGUACAAAGCUAGAGCUAUAGUUUCUUUAUAUAUUUUUCUAUUCAACUGAUCUUUCCCCUCCAUGUAUCUUUCUCAGCUCCUCCCACUUUAUUCUGAUUCAUCUAAUAAUUAAUAAGCAAUAUCAAUAUAUUUAUAUAUAUAUAAUAAAAAAAAGUAAAAAUUAAUCCCACUAUAAACUACAACCCACGUGUAAGUACUCUCCAACCUAACUUCAUGCAUAUUAAAAUCUUGGCCAGCAUCUUAAUUCAUCAAGUUCGAACACACCCUCCUGAAAAAUUUAAAAAUUAAAAUAAACAUUACCCCUCGUCUUUUAACCGCAAUGAAAAAUUUUCACAGAAAUGAAUUCACAGUUUUGUGAUUUGUAACGUCUUUGUCUCAUCUUCACUCACUCGGCAUUCCCCAUUGGAGCAGCUGCUGCUGCAGCUUUGUUUGGUACAAUCUCAUAACCUUCAUUGCCUUCUUCUUCUUCUUCGUCACCCUCUUCACUGUUUCCUUCUUCUUCUUCUUCUUCUUCUUCUUCUUCGUCAUCUUCUUGAAUUUGAUUCACAUUCAAUGGCGGCUGGUUUUGUCCCUGCAGAUGAUCAUUAUUGUGUAGUGGCCAUUGCUGCUCCGGUAACACCAUCAACGGCGCCGUGUUAUGAUUCACAGCCUUCACAUUUCCAUAACAACCUGAAUUAUUUUCACUACUCUUAUUGCUUUUCUCUCUAUACAAAGCAUCAAGUUGAUCAAAAUACGGACACGUCUUCGAAUCAUCAGGCCUUUUCUUGUUGCUCUCUUUAACUUUCUUGAAAUACUUGUUAAUAUUCUCCCAUUUCUCUUUACACCUCUUAGCGUUCCGAUUGUAUCCAACGCUCCGCAUUGCCGCUGCGAUCUCUUCCCAUAGAGGCCCUUUCGGUCCAUUUUCUUGAUACUUAUUUGCCAGCUCGGUUCUAAAUUUGAUCAAAGCUUGAACUUCAGCUUUUGGCCAUCUUGAAGAGCUUGUUGACAUAACAACAUUUCCACCAUAAUUAUUAUUAUUAGCCGCCGGCUUAUUAUUUGGAGUAGUCGUAGCCGGUGGCUGAGGCUGAGGUGGAACUGCUGGUACGGGCUGUACUACUACUGUUGGCGGUGGCGGUUGGGGAUUUUCUUUAACGGGGAUUUGUUGCUGGCCUGAAAUAUUUUGCAAGAAUGCGAUGACGGCAGCGUCCUUGGCAGCUGCUGUGGCUCGUUCUUGGAUUAGAAUCUCAUGUUCUCUAUCGAUUCUAGCCAUUUCUUGAACCCUCCAAGCUUCGUCACGAACAAUUCUUUCGCGUUCGCGUCUCUCCAUUUCCUCCAAGAAUCUAUAUUGCAGCUCCUCUUGUUUCUUGAUCACCUGCUUCGUCAACCUCUUGAAAAACAUCUUCCACUUUCUCUUCCUCGUACCAGCUGGCCGCUCUUCAGAAUAUUCCUCUGACGCAGUUGAAGAUGAUGUUGAACUCGAGAAAAGAUUCGGCGACACAUUUGCAAACGAAUACGGUAAGUUAUUCACAGGCUGGGCUAAUGGCGGCGCUGCUGCUGCUGCAGAAACCGUAGGGUUUGUGGGAGGGGCAAUGACAGUGCUCUGAGGCACGGCUUGUAUAGGGUUUGCGGCUGAUAUCGAUGUAACAACAUUCUUGAUAUGAGCCGGGACUGAACUCGGAGGAUUCAUAGUCCAAGGAAUUGCUUGCAUUAACGGAGCUGGAGGCUUUGUUGUUGCUUGAGGAGCGGUUGAAUGAUGAUGAUGAUCAAGGGCUUCUAAUUGAUCAAAAAACUUGUAAUGCUUGCCUUCUGGCUUUCCCGUGCGGCCAUCUUUUGUUCUCCUGUGGUAUUUGUAGACGUUCUCGAAUUUCUCUUUGCAUUUCUUGGCACUUCGAUUAUAACCAAGCUCAGCUAGUUUCCUGAUAAUAACAGUUCAGCAACAGCUUUUUACUUCCUCAUCCCAUGUUAAUUAAUAACUAUGUUUAAUUACCAGCAUUUUCACGCAUAAAAUAAACAUGAAAUUUGAUCGUUUCGAUAAUUAAUCCAAGAAAAGAUAAAAUUUAAUACUAAUUUUUAAUUUUUUGAUUAAAAAAAAAAGGAAAAGGAAAAGAGAUGACCUAAUCGUCAGUGACCUCAUGUUAAUUUCUGAAAUCGGCAAAUCAACUAGAGUUUAAUUCUAACAGUAACAUGAAAAUUUUGAAACGCUAGAUUAAUGAAACCUAUAUCACAGAAGAGAAUUGCAUUUGAAACCAUUUAGUACCAAGAGAAUUGUAAAUUUUGAUUAUAUAUAUAUAUAUAUAUAUAUAUAUAUAUAUUAAUUGCUUAUUCAUGUGUGAUGUUGGCAUGUUAUGGAAAGAAGCUAGCUGCAGCUUCCUCUUCUCUCUCUUUCAUGUUGGUGACAGACUGGUAUUUACCUUUUCUUUCUUUUUUUUUUUGUUGGCUGAGUUAUUUUAUUGCUGAAGUUUGAAGUUGCAAGUAAAUAUUCUGAAUUCAAUAAAAAACAAACACUACAAACCAUUUUCCCCAUUUACAAGUAACAGCCGACGAACAGAAAUGAAAGAUACAACUCCGAAGUUUUACUUUUCUUUAUUAUUAUGGCCUGUAGAAAACUCAGCUAGCUAUCUGCCUAUGAACAGACUGAAAAAUUGAGAAAAAAAAAUAAAAAAAUAAAAAUAAAAAAGGUACAAAGCUAGAGCUAUAGUUUCUUUAUAUAUUUUUCUAUUCAACUGAUCUUUCCCCUCCAUGUAUCUUUCUCAGCUCCUCCCACUUUAUUCUGAUUCAUCUAAUAAUUAAUAAGCAAUAUCAAUAUAUUUAUAUAUAUAUAAUAA